rnacentral:rRNA from 1 species
UACGGAGGGUGCAAACGUUGCUCGGAAUUAUUGGGCGUAAAGCGCACGUAGGCGGACUGUUAAGUCGGAUGUGAAAGCCCUCGGCUUAACUGAGGAAGUGCAUUCGAAACUAGCAGUCUUGAGUAUGGAAGAGGGUCGCGGAAUUCCCGGUGUAGAGGUGAAAUUCGUAGAUAUUCGCAAGAACACCAGUGGCGAAGGCGGCUCACUGGCCCGAUACUGACGCUGAGGCACGAAAGCGUGGGGAGCAAACAGG